UAUAAUGGAACUGAUUGUGGAGCAUUCAAAACCUUUUUUUUGUUGCGCUUGUUUGAAAAUUGUUUAUCCAAAAUCAAAAAUCAAUUCCUGAUUUCUUCGUCUUAUUGAAAUUAUAAAAUAUAGGUAUGUACAUAAUUAUGAUUGAGCAGUGAUAGCGUCAUGGGGAUUAAAAGAAAAACUAACAAAAUUGAGAAAACUAUAAGAAAGCAGGAAAACAAGGAGUUCAAGGCAAAAACUGAUAAUGGAAGUAAAAAAUCAUAUUUGUCUUUAUGCGAAAAAUUACCCUCAUUACAGUAAUAAAUAUCGAAGCCAGGCUGCAUGGGAGGACAUAUCCUAUAUUCUGGGCAGAUCAGUGAAAGAAUGCCAAAAAAAUGGAGUUCUCUGAAAGAUUUGUUGCGAAGCUACUUCAAACUAGAGAGUUUUUUUUUAUUUGUAUAUGUAAAUAAUUUAUAGAAAAUGAAGUUCCUAAUUUUGUGUCACUAGUUUUAAGAUGAAAAAAA